rnacentral:rRNA from 1 species
GGGUGACGAGCGGCGGACGGGUGAGUAAUGUCUGGGAAACUGCCUGAUGGAGGGGGAUAACUACUGGAAACGGUAGCUAAUACCGCAUAACGUCGCAAGACCAAAGUGGGGGACCUUCGGGCCUCAUGCCAUCAGAUGUGCCCAGAUGGGAUUAGCUAGUAGGUGGGGUAAUGGCUCACCUAGGCGACGAUCCCUAGCUGGUCUGAGAGGAUGACCAGCCACACUGGAACUGAGACACGGUCCAGACUCCUACGGGAGGCAGCAGUGGGGAAUAUUGCACAAUGGGCGCAAGCCUGAUGCAGCCAUGCCGCGUGUAUGAAGAAGGCCUUCGGGUUGUAAAGUACUUUCAGCGAGGAGGAAGGCAUUAAGGUUAAUAACCUUAGUGAUUGACGUUACUCGCAGAAGAAGCACCGGCUAACUCCGUGCCAGCAGCCGCGGUAAUACGGAGGGUGCAAGCGUUAAUCGGAAUUACUGGGCGUAAAGCGCACGCAGGCGGUUUGUUAAGUCAGAUGUGAAAUCCCCGGGCUCAACCUGGGAACUGCAUUUGAAACUGGCAAGCUUGAGUCUUGUAGAGGGGGGUAGAAUUCCAGGUGUAGCGGUGAAAUGCGUAGAGAUCUGGAGGAAUACCGGUGGCGAAGGCGGCCCC